CUGCAGGAGAGACUGAGGGCGAGUGAGAGCUCAGUGGAGGAGCUGAGGAGGAAGGUGGAGAAGCAGAACGAGGUUCAAGCCGUAAAAGUUUCAUCGCUUGAGUUCAGACUGAACACGAGUGAGGACGACGUGAAGAAGAAACAUUUAGAUCUGAAGAUGAAGGUGGAGGAGCUGGAGGAGCAGAACAAAGUUCGAGCCAUCAAGGUUUCAUCGCUUGAGUUCAGACUGGACACGAGCGAGAGCUUAGUGGACGACCUGAAGAAGAAAAAUUCAGCUCUGGCAGGGGAGCUGCCGUUCCUGCAGACGAGACUGAGGGCGAGUGAGAGCACCGUGGAGCAGCUGAGGAGGAGGAACACAG